rnacentral:rRNA from 1 species
GAUGAACGCUAGCGGCAGGCUUAAUACAUGCAAGUCGAACGGUAAGUGUUGUAGCAAUAUAACACCAAGAGUGACGUACGGGUGCGUAACACGUAUGCAACCUACCCUUUACAGGAGGAUAGCUCGGGGAAACUCGAAUUAACCCUCCAUAAUAUAAUUGGAUGGCAUCAUUUGAUUAUUAAAACUCAGGUGGUAAAGGAUGGGCAUGCGUCUGAUUAGUUAGUUGGCGGGGUAAUGGCCCACCAAGACGAUGAUCAGUAGGGGACCUGAGAGGGUGAUCCACCAAACUGGCACUGAGAUACGGGCCAGACUCCUACGGGAGGCAGCAGUAGGGAAUAUUGGUCAAUGGAUGCAAGUCUGAACCAGCCAUGCCGCGUGCAGGAAGAAGGCCUUCUGGGUUGUAAACUGCUUUUGCCAGGGGAUAAAAUGUCUGUGCGCAGAUAAUUGAAGGUACCUGGUGAAUAAGCCACGGCUAACUACGUGCCAGCCGCCGCAGUAAUAC